UGAUGGUAUCUAAAGGUGAUGGUAGCAGAAGACGGAGCGGCAGGAGAUCAUGAGUUGGGUGGUCCAAGUCUAACAUGAAAAAAUUGAGCAAGAUCAGAUGUUACCGAUGUGAUGAGUUAGGACAUUAUGUUAGAGAUUAUCCGUAGCUCAGGAAUCGGACAAAAGCUAUAGCGACGACGGUCCAUGGUAGCGACACGGAUGAGACCGAUAAUUG
rnacentral:lncRNA from 1 species